AUACAGCUCAGUUGGUAGAGUGCUUGCCUCACAUGCACAAGUCCCUGGGUUCAAUUCCCAGUAU
rnacentral:tRNA from 1 species